rnacentral:lncRNA from 1 species
CUGGAGACAACGUCGGCUUCAAUGUCAAGAAUGUUGCCGUCAAGGAUCUGAAGCGUGGUUAUGUUGCUUCAAACUCAAAGGAUGACCCAGCAAAGGGGGCAGCCAGCUUUACCGCUCAGGUCAUCAUCAUGAACCACCCAGGCCAGAUUGGCAAUGGUUAUGCCCCGGUUCUCGACUGUCACACUUCUCACAUUGCUGUUAAGUUUGCGGAGCUCUUGACCAAGAUUGAUCGUCGUUCUGGUAAGGAGCUGGAGAAGGAGCCCAAGUUCCUGAAGAAUGGAGAUGCUGGUUUUGUUAAGAUGAUUCCCACCAAGCCAAUGGUAGUUGAGACCUUCUCUG